AGUGAACGCUGGCGGUAGGCCUAACACAUGCAAGUCGAACGGCAGCACAGUAAGAGCUUGCUCUUACGGGUGGCGAGUGGCGGACGGGUGAGGAAUACAUCGGAAUCUACUUUUUCGUGGGGGGUAACGUAGGGAAACUUACGCUAAUACCGCAUACGACCUACGGGUGAAAGCAGGGGAUCUUCGGACCUUGCGCGAUUGAAUGAGCCGAUGUCGGAUUAGCUAGUUGGCGGGGUAAAGGCCCACCAAGGCGACGAUCCGUAGCUGGUCUGAGAGGAUGAUCAGCCACACUGGAACUGAGACACGGUCCAGACUCCUACGGGAGGCAGCAGUGGGGAAUAUUGGACAAAGGGCGCAAGCCUGAUCCAGCCAUACCGCGUGGGUGAAGAAGGCCUUCGGGUUGUAAAGCCCUUUUGCUGGGAAAGAAAAGCAGCAGGUUAAUACCCCGCUGUUCUGACGGUACCCAAAGAAUAAGCACCGGCUAACUUCGUG
rnacentral:rRNA from 1 species